CGCCUUGCCAGCCGCUCAGAAACUUAAAGGAAUUGACGGGGCCCGCACAAGCGGAGGAGCAUGUGGUUUAAUUCGAUGAUACGCGAGGAACCUUACCUGGGCUCGAACGUAAGAUGACUGUAGGUGAAAGCUUACAUCUCUUCGGAGCAUUUUACGAGGUGCUGCAUGGUUGUCGUCAGCUCGUGCCGUGAGGUGUCGGGUUAAGUCCCAUAACGAGCGCAACCCCUACCUUUAGUUGCCAUCAGGUAAUGCUGGGGACUCUAAAGGAACUGCCUACGCAAGUAGUGAGGAAGGCGGGGAUGACGUCAAAUCAGCACGGCCCUUACGUCCAGGGCUACACACGUGCUACAAUGGCCGAUACAGAGGGCAGCUACCUGGUGACAGGAUGCAAAUCUCCAAAGUCGGUCUCAGUUCGGAUCGGAGUCUGCAACCCGACUCCGUGAAGUUGGAUUCGCUAGUAAUCGCGCAUCAGCCAUGGCGCGGUGAAUACGUUCCCGGGCCUU
rnacentral:rRNA from 1 species